CGUAGGGCGCAAGCGUUGUCCGGAAUUAUUGGGGCGUAAAGAGCUUGUAGGUGGCUUGUCGCGUCUGCCGUGAAAACCCGAGGCUCAACCUCGGGCGUGCGGUGGGUACGGGCAGGCUAGAGUGUGGUAGGGGAGACUGGAACUCCUGGUGUAGCGGUGAAAUGCGCAGAUAUCAGGAAGAACACCGAUGGCGAAGGCAGGUCUCUGGGCCAUUACUGACACUGAGAAGCGAAAGCAUGGGGGAGCGAACAGGAUU
rnacentral:rRNA from 1 species